CAGUAGCCACGGUAAUACGUAGGUGGCAAGCGUUGUCCGGAAUUAUUGGGCGUAAAGGGCUCGCAGGCGGUUUCUUAAGUCUGAUGUGAAAGCCCCCGGCUCAACCGGGGAGGGUCAUUGGAAACUGGGAAACUUGAGUGCAGAAGAGGAGAGUGGAAUUCCACGUGUAGCGGUGAAAUGCGUAGAGAUGUGGAGGAACACCAGUGGCGAAGGCGACUCUCUGGUCUGUAACUGACGCUGAGGAGCGAAAGCGUGGGGAGCAAACAGGAUUAGAGACCCCUGUAGUCCCUGUCUCUUAUAC
rnacentral:rRNA from 1 species